ACACACUUCUUCAUAUGCCCAUA
rnacentral:miRNA from 13 species